rnacentral:rRNA from 1 species
GGAAUAUUGGACAAUGGGCGAAAGCCUGAUCCAGCCAUGCCGCGUGAGUGAUGAAGGCCCUAGGGUUGUAAAGCUCUUUCAACGGUGAAGAUAAUGACGGUAACCGUAGAAGAAGCCCCGGCUAACUUCGUGCCAGCAGCCGCGGUAAUACGAAGGGGGCUAGCGUUGCUCGGAAUCACUGGGCGUAAAGCGCACGUAGGUGGGUCGCUGAGUCGGGGGUGAAAUCCUGGAGCUCAACUCCAGAACUGCCUUCGAUACUGGCGAUCUUCGAGUCCGGGAGAGGUGGGUGGAACUGCGAGUGUAGAGGUGAAAUUCGUAGAUAUUCGCAAGAACACCAGUGGCGAAGGCGGCUCACUGGCCCGGUACUGACACUGAGGUGCGAAAGCGUGGGGAGCAAAC